GCUCAAGAGAGUUCUACUUCCUUGUUGUUAUCACAUUUGCCACUCAGCCUUUCGUGGCAGACACUUCGUGGAUUAAUCCUCUCCUUAGCUACAAUGAAUUCCCAGCCUCAGGGUCAGCCAAUUCGUCCUGGUCACACCAUCUGGAUUUCUUGGUCUACUCCCUAUAGGAGGCCAGUUCCCCUGAGGUCAUGGCCAGCUAUCGCCAUUAUCAUCUGCGUCAUCUUACUCAGGAGUUCUGCUCUUUCCUGGAACGACUGUAUUCCCCUAAACUCCCGGAGCAACCUCUCUCGCUCUUCCACAUUGUACAGAUGCCUUUGACUCACUCUUCUUCAACUCAAACACCUCUGCCUCCUAUCCUGGUGGAUCAAAGGACACAAACUGAUGGUUGUCCUCAUGCUGAACCCUGUUGCCCUAGGCUGACAACUCCUGCUUCUCUUCCUCAUAUCCCAUCUCCUCCUUUUGCCUACAUCCGUCAUUUCUCCCCCAGCAUGGCCUCUUCUCCCUCUAACUCUGAGCCUGGUUCCCCAGGCUUUGUUCCUUCUUCUCCCUCUCCUAGGCCUGGAUCCCCAGACUAUACUCACACUUAUCCAAGGCCUGAUAGCUCUGGGUCUCAUUAUUAUUACUAAGUUUAUUUGAAAUAAACUUCUCUUUCCUUUUA